AAAAGGUCUCUGCCUGCACCUGAAGGGUACUCUCCUCCGCAGGUCAACGCCCACUUUCACCAUUACAUACCAAGGAAAGACUUUCCACCACCAGAAGGCUGGAAUUAAUCCCGUCUCACACCAUCACUUCUGGAAAAGAACAUCGUAUAGUUAGCAAAAGUGCAUUUCUUAGUGCUUGAUUAACAAUAUAUAUAUAUAUAUAUAUAUAUAUAUAUAUAUAUAUAUAUAUAUAUAUAUAUAUAUGUACUCCUCUUCUGUCGAUCAUCUUUUUCUCUUUCUCUUUCUCUAAUCUGUCUAACUGUAGUGUUGUUUAAUGGUCUUUCUAUGGUAUAUGUGC
rnacentral:lncRNA from 1 species